AUUUGAAGAAGGUAUCUUUGGUUUUGGCUCUUGUCUAUGUUUCUUGGAACAGGACGUCACAGAGGGUGAGAAUCCCGUGCGAUGAGAUGCCCAAUUCCAUGUAAAGUUCCUUCGACGAGUCGAGUUGUUUGGGAAUGCAGCUCUAAGUGGGUGGUAAAUUCCAUCUAAAGCUAAAUAUUGGCGAGAGACCGAUAGCGAACAAGUACUGUGAAGGAAAGAUGAAAAGAACUUUGAAAAGAGAGUGAAAAAGUACGUGAAAUUGUUGAAAGGGAAGGGCUUGAGGUCAGACUUGGUUUACCAGGCCAGCAUCAGUUUGGAUGGCAGGAUAAUAACUAAGAAAAGUGGCACUGCUUCGGUGGUGUGUUAUAGUCUUGGUUGAUACUGCCUGUCUAGACUGAGGACUGCGUCUUUGACUAGGAUGCUGGCAUAAUGACCUUAAGCCGCCCGUCUUGAAACACGGACCAAA
rnacentral:rRNA from 1 species